ACAACAUUGGGACCGUCGAUCUACCGAGCAAAUAUCAUCCGCUCGUAGAAGAUCAUCCCGCCGUUGU
rnacentral:pre_miRNA from 1 species